UAGGGAAUCUUCGGCAAUGGACGAAAGUCUGACCGAGCAACGCCGCGUGAGUGAAGAAGGUUUUCGGAUCGUAAAACUCUGUUGUUAGAGAAGAACGUUGCAUAGAGUGGAAAAUUAUGCAAGUGACGGUAUCUAACCAGAAAGGGACGGCUAACUACGUGCCAGCAGCCGCGGUAAUACGUAGGUCCCGAGCGUUGUCCGGAUUUAUUGGGCGUAAAGCGAGCGCAGGUGGUUUAAUAAGUCUGAUGUAAAAGGCAGUGGCUCAACCAUUGUGUGCAUUGGAAACUGUUAGACUUGAGUGCAGUAGAGGAGAGUGGAAUUCCAUGUGUAGCGGUGAAAUGCGUAGAUAUAUGGAGGAACACCGGUGGCGAAAGCGGCUCUCUGGACUGUCACUGACACUGAGGCUCGAAAGCGUGGGUAGCAAACAGG
rnacentral:rRNA from 4 species